rnacentral:rRNA from 1 species
CCUGACUGCUAUCGGAUUGAUACUAAGCCAUGCGAGUCAUUGUAGCAAUACAAGGCAGACGGCUCAGUAACGCGUAGUCAAUCUACCCUAUGGACGGGAAUAACCUCGGGAAACUGAGAAUAAUGCCCGAUAGAACAUUAUGCCUGGAAUGGUUUAUGUUUCAAAUGAUUUAUCGCCAUAGGAUGGGACUGCGGCCUAUCAGUUUGUUGGUGAGGUAAUGGCCCACCAAGACUAUUACAGGUACGGGCUCUGAGAGGAGUAGCCCGGAGAUGGGUACUGAGACACGGACCCAGGCCCUAUGGGGCGCAGCAGGCGAGAAAACUUUGCAAUGUGCGAAAGCACGACAAGGUUAAUCCGAGUGGUUUCUGCUAAAGAAACCUUUUGUCAGUCCUAGAAACACUAACGAAUAAGGGGUGGGCAAGUUCUGGUGUCGGCCGCCGCGGUAAAACCAGCACCUCAAGUGGUCAGGAUGAUUAUUGGGCCUAAAGCAUCCGUAGCUCGUUUUGUAAGUUUUCGGUUAAAUCCAUGCGCUUAACGUAUGGGCUGCCGGGAAUACUGCAUAACUAGGGAGUGGGAGAGGUAGACGGUACUCGGGAGGAAGGGGUAAAAUCCUUUGAUCUCUUGAUGACCACCUGUGGCGAAGGCGGUCUACCAGAACACGUUCGACGGUGAGGGAUGAAAGCUGGGGGAGCAAACCGGAUUAGAUACCCGGGUAGUCCCAGCUGUAAACUAUGCAAACUCAGUGAUGCAUUGGCUUAUGGCCAAUGCAGUGCUGCAGGGAAGCCGUUAAGUUUGCCGCCUGGGAAGUACGUACGCAAGUAUGAAACUUAAAGGAAUUGGCGGGGGAGCACCACAAGGGGUGAAGCCUGCGGUUCAAUUGGAGUCAACGCC